rnacentral:misc_RNA from 1 species
UCGAUCCUGGCAUUUCGCAC